UGCUUUACACAUGCAAGUCGAGCGGCAGCGCGGGGCAACCUGGCGGCGAACGGCGAACGGGUGAGUAACAUAUCGGAACGUACCCAGACGAGGGGGAUAACACAGCGAAAGUUGUGCUAAUACCGCAUACGACCUGAGGGUGAAAGCGGGGGAUCUAAGGGAAACUGAGGACCUCGCGUGUUUGGAGCGGCCGAUAUCGGAUUAGCUAGUUGGUGAGGUAAAGGCUCACCAAGGCGACGAUCCGUAGCGGGUCUGAGAGGACGGCCCGCCACACUGGAACUGAGACACGGUCCAGACUCCUACGGGAGGCAGCAGUGGGGAAUUUUGGACAAUGGGCGGAAGCCUGAUCCAGCCAUUCCGCGUGAGUGAAGAAGGCCUUCGGGUUGUAAAGCUC
rnacentral:rRNA from 1 species